rnacentral:tRNA from 1 species
GGGGUCGUAGCUCGAAGGCAGAGCAGGCGACUUUUAAUCGCCAAGGUGCGGGUUCGAGUCCCGCGGGCCCCUCCA